UACAGAGGGUGCGAGCGUUGUCCGGAAUCACUGGGCGUAAAGGGCGCGUAGGCGGCCCGGUAAGGUUGCGGUGAAAGGCCCGGGCCUCAACCCCGGGUCGGCCGUGGCAACUGCUGGGCUGGAGCACAGGUAGAGGCGGGGUGGAAUUCCGGGGUGAUAGCGGUGGAAUGCGUAGAGAUCCGGAAGAACACCGGUGGCGA
rnacentral:rRNA from 1 species